CUAAAAUGAUUUGCUGCUUGGAAGCCAUUCCGUGCCACCCUCAGACAAAUGCCUUGUAGAAGCCAGCAGGAUGCUCCUCUACUUACGGGCUGCAGCGGGACUUGGCUUUGGCACUGAAGAAAAGGGAUUUGUAGGGGAAGCUUCUGGUAGCAGCAUGUACACAAGGGAAGUUGGGCACAGCAGCAGUUUUCUUUCAAAUUCUCCUUGCUUCUGAAAGGCCACCCAUGGGAGGCAGCCAUCUCUGGUGCAGCUAUUGUUUGCGGUGGAUGCGUGCCACUGUUUGCGGCUGGGGUGGAGCGGAGGGAGCGCCGGGCCUCGCACACAGAAGAUGAAGACUGCCCUCUGCCUUUCUGUCUUUGGAGGCCACAUGUAGCACAAAUGAGGCAAAAAACAGAGGCUGGUAAGGCUGCCCUACACCAGGCUCAGGCAGCACCCAGCUCCCUCCUACAGCCAGAGCCUCAGCAGGAGCUUUCCUGAAGGAGCCGGAGGGCACUGGGGCAGAUCACCCAAGAUUGCUGACUGAGGCACCACAUCCUCCUGUUUAAGAGCCACAGGCAACACAGCAGUGAAUUAGGAGAAGAAAGGGACCAUUUGGAACAGUUCGGUUUCUUCAUUUUCCCCUUGGUUUUCUUUUGGGGCCAAGUCUAGUGCAGGAAAAAGAUGCAUGCCUAGAAGAGAAGCAAGAGUUUGUGUGCACUGCAACAGCUACAUUCACAUAUUUAGACAAGAAACAUCUAAAUAUUUUCUAAAAAGCGCAGGCCAAAAUGGUGUUGCAACUGAUUCAGGUUGGAUAUUCUUUCUCUGAAAGAGGGGUCAGGUGCUGGAACAGGCUGUCCAGGGAGGUGGUGGAGUCACUGUCCAGGGAGGUGUUCAAGAAACAUUUACAUGUUGUACCGAAGGACAUGGUUUAGUGAGGAAAAAUUGGUGGGAGGUAGACAGUUGGACCACAUGAUCUUGGAGAUCUUUUCCUGCUUUGGUGAUUUUAUGAGUGUACUGAGUGCUUCCCACACUCCUGUUGUCUCUACAACAGUUCCUGGUGGAUGAAUAGGUCUUCACCAGAGAUAAAUCUUGCAAGAGGGAAUGAGAACAAGAAUUGCACUACACCCAGCUGCAUUAUAACGCCACUAUGACAGAAUGACUUUUCUUAUACACGGGGCUGCAUUAUGCGUUAAUUUCGCCUGUCAACAAGUUGAGCAGAAUAGAUCUUGUGCAGACACCGAUCUUUUGAGGACCUUCUAAAUACACUGAAAAACUAAAACAAUAUUUGGGGAGGAAUUUGGGGAGGAUCUGAGGGUAGUCAUACCAAAAUUUUUC
ensembl:lncRNA